rnacentral:snRNA from 1 species
GUGCUCUCUUCAUCACCAGCACUACACUAAAAUUGGAAUGAAUACAGAGAAAAGAAAGAUUAGCAUGGCUCUUGUGAAGGAUGAUAUGUAAAUUUGUAAAGUGUUCCAUCUUUUU